rnacentral:sRNA from 1 species
GCUAACAGGGCUCCUCUCUCUGCCUCUCCAGGAUGAAGUGACACCCCCAGCUACAUCCGAGGAGGUUCCAGGACCUGCUACGAGGAGGACGGAGAAGGGAGGAGAUUCCCCGGCUCCCACCGCGGCAUCCCUUUUGGACUUCAAAGGCUCCCCCAGCAUUGUCUGCGCUGGCGGGCAGUGGCCCUGAAAACGUGAUCAGAGGCGGCCCGGUGUAGGGCAGGCCCGGCCCGCGCCCUGCGCUCUCACUGGGGCCGGUGGAUUCCUCCCUUUGCCGCCAGCACCACCCUGGUUACAGCUCCAUCCCGGGUCCUCUCGGCCUUUCUCUCCCUGGUGCCCCUUCUUGCUCCCUUCUGGCCACUCCCGUCCUCCUCUUAACCAUGGCCUCACCCCUGUCUCAUGGAGUUGAGAAUUCUAGAAUCUUCAGAGCUGCGAGCCUCCAUGCCUUCACAUG